UGGGCGUUGGAAAAUUGAGGAGAGCUGAUCCUAGUACGAGAGGACCGGAUUGGACAUACCUCUGGUGUAUCUGUUGUAACGCCAGUUGCAUCGCAGAGUAGCUAUGUAUGGACGGGAUAACCGCUGAAAGCAUCUAAGCGGGAAGCCUCCUCCAAGAUGAAUUUUCCCGUAUAUUAAAUACUAAAAUCCCUCGUAGACUAUGAGGUUGAUAGGCAAGAGGUGGAAGCGUAGUGAUACGUUGAGCUGACUUGUACUAAUAGAUUGAGAGAUUAAUCCCA
rnacentral:rRNA from 1 species